rnacentral:lncRNA from 1 species
GUGCCCCAUGUGCCAGUGCCCCAGAUGGCGGCAGCCUCCCCAGAAGCACCUUGUAUCUCCCCUGCACAGGGCCAGGGUCCCAGCUUCCCAUACACCUUCUCCUGCUUUUUCUUUUCUGUCCUUUCCUUUUUCAAUAAACCACCUGCAAAAAGGAAAAACCAUUCUGAGGACAAGAAACAUGUCAAUGGGAAAUACACAGUUGCCAGAGGGUAAAAGGCCCUGUUCAUUCUCAUUGAAAAGCUCAGGUAUUUCUGUUAAAGUCUCUCCUUUUACUUUAGGAUGCUGACUCCUGCGUCCAUCUCAACCUGGGCAUCGUGCCACCACCUUCAAGAAGAGAAAAACUAAGUAGUGCUUUGCAAAGGGGCAGCAGCAUUUCUCAUUUCUGACCAUGUCAGGCACACGGCCAUGCAGAUGAGCAGGUGGGGGACACA